UACGAAGGUUGCAAGCGUUACUCGGAAUUACUAGGCGUAAAGGGCAGGUAGGUGGUUUGGUAAGUCUAUUGUGAAAGCUCCCGGCUCAACUGGGAGAGGCCAAUGGAUACUGCCAAGCUUGAGUAUAGGAGAGGUUACUGGAAUUCCCGGUGUAGCGGUGAAAUGCGCAGAUAUCGGGAGGAACACCAAUAGCGAAGGCAGCUUGCUGGGACGUUACUGACGCUAAGGCGCGAAAGCGUGGGGAGCGAACAGG
rnacentral:rRNA from 1 species